UACAGAGGGUGCAAGCGUUGUUCGGAAUUAUUGGGCGUAAAGGGCGCGUAGGCGGUUCGUCGCGUCGGCUGUGAAAACCCGGAGCUCAACUCCGGGCCUGCAGUCGAUACGGGCGGACUUGAGUGUUGCAGGGGAGACUGGAAUUCCUGGUGUAGCGGUGAAAUGCGCAGAUAUCAGGAGGAACACCGGUGGCGAAGGCGGCACUCUGGGACGUGACUGACGCUGAGACGCGAAAGCGUGGGGAGCAAACAGG
rnacentral:rRNA from 1 species